rnacentral:rRNA from 1 species
UACGUAGGGGGCUAGCGUUGUCCGGAAUCACUGGGCGUAAAGCGCACGUAGGCGGACUCUUAAGUCGGUGGUGAAAUCCUGGAGCUCAACUCCAGAACUGCCUUCGAUACUGAGAGUCUCGAGUCCGGGAGAGGUGAGUGGAACUGCGAGUGUAGAGGUGAAAUUCGUAGAUAUUCGCAAGAACACCAGUGGCGAAGGCGGCUCACUGGCCCGGUACUGACGCUGAGGUGCGAAAGCGUGGGGAGCAAACAGG